rnacentral:rRNA from 1 species
UACGUAGGGUGCGAGCGUUGUCCGGAAUUAUUGGGCAUAAAGAGCUCGUAGGCGGUCUGUCGCGUCGAUCGUGAAAACUUGGGGCUUAACCCUGAGCUUGCGGUCGAUACGGGCAUGACUGGAGUUCGGCAGGGGAGACUGGAAUUCCUGGUGUAGUGGUGGAAUGCGUAGAUAUCGGGAGGAACACCAGUGGCGAAGGCGGUUGCCUGGGGCUUUGCUGACGCUGAUGCGCGAAAGCGUGGGGAGCGAGUCCGG